UACGGAGGAUGCGAGCGUUAUCCGGAUUUAUUGGGUUUAAAGGGUGCGUAGGCGGCGAGUUAAGUCAGCGGUCAAAGCCCGGGGCUCAACCCCGGCCCGCCGUUGAAACUGGCAGUCUCGAGUUGGAGAGAAGUAUGCGGAAUGCGCAGUGUAGCGGUGAAAUGCUUAGAUAUUGCGCAGAACCCCGAUUGCGAAGGCAGCGUACCGGCUCCACACUGACGCUGAGGCACGAAAGCGUGGGUAUCGAACAGG
rnacentral:rRNA from 1 species